UACGUAGGGUGCAAGCGUUGUCCGGAAUUAUUGGGCGUAAAGGGCUCGUAGGCGGUUUGUCGCGUCGGGAGUGAAAACCCAGGGCUUAACCCUGGGCCUGCUUCCGAUACGGGCAGACUAGAGGUAUGCAGGGGAGAACGGAAUUCCUGGUGUAGCGGUGAAAUGCGCAGAUAUCAGGAGGAACACCGGUGGCGAAGGCGGUUCUCUGGGCAUUACCUGACGCUGAGGAGCGAAAGUGUGGGGAGCGAACAGG
rnacentral:rRNA from 1 species